rnacentral:misc_RNA from 1 species
GUAUUAAUUACUAGGUGUAUUUCAGAUAGCAACAUGGCAUAUGUAAGGAGGUGGAGGGGACAUGCGCACGUCAAGCGGCAUCGACUAGUGCUACUCGGUCACGCCUGUCGGCGCAACCAGCAACACCAGCAAACAUAACAAGAGGCACCUCGCGGUGCCACCUACCAUGCCCACCACGCCUACCGGCGUGACAAAUACCGCCUGACGGCGCAUCCCACACCAGAGGUGCACAGGAACGUAAUCACAUAGAUACGGUGAUGAUCCUUCCGCAGGUUCACCUACGAAAA